rnacentral:rRNA from 1 species
AUUGAACGCUGGCGGCAGGCUUAACACAUGCAAGUCGAGCGGAGAUGAGGUGCUUGCACCUUAUCUUAGCGGCGGACGGGUGAGUAAUGCUUAGGAAUCUGCCUAUUAGUGGGGGACAACAUUCCGAAAGGAAUGCUAAUACCGCAUACGCCCUACGGGGGAAAGCAGGGGAUCUUCGGACCUUGCGCUAAUAGAUGAGCCUAAGUCGGAUUAGCUAGUUGGUGGGGUAAAGGCCUACCAAGGCGACGAUCUGUAGCGGGUCUGAGAGGAUGAUCCGCCACACUGGGACUGAGACACGGCCCAGACUCCUACGGGAGGCAGCAGUGGGGAAUAUUGGACAAUGGGCGGAAGCCUGAUCCAGCCAUGCCGCGUGUGUGAAGAAGGCCUUUUGGUUGUAAAGCACUUUAAGCGAGGAGGAGGCUACCUGGAUUAAUACUCUAGGAUAGUGGACGUUACUCGCAGAAUAAGCACCGGCUAACUCUGUGCCAGCAGCCGCCGUAACAC